AUUGAACGCUGGCGGCAGGCUUAACACAUGCAAGUCGAGCGGAGAUGAGGUGCUUGCACCUUGUCUUAGCGGCGGACGGGUGAGUAAUGCUUAGGAAUCUGCCUAUUAGUGGGGGACAACAUUCCGAAAGGAAUGCUAAUACCGCAUACGUCCUACGGGAGAAAGCAGGGGAUCUUCGGACCUUGCGCUAAUAGAUGAGCCUAAGUCGGAUUAGCUAGUUGGUGGGGUAAAGGCCUACCAAGGCGACGAUCUGUAGCGGGUCUGAGAGGAUGAUCCGCCACACUGGGACUGAGACACGGCCCAGACUCCUACGGGAGGCAGCAGUGGGGAAUAUUGGACAAUGGGGGGAACCCUGAUCCAGCCAUGCCGCGUGUGUGAAGAAGGCCUUAUGGUUGUAAAGCACUUUAAGCGAGGAGGAGGCUACUGAGACUAAUACUCUUGGAUAGUGGACGUUACUCGCAGAAUAAGCACCGGCUAACUCUGUGCCAGCCGCCGCGGUAAUAC
rnacentral:rRNA from 1 species